rnacentral:rRNA from 1 species
UACGUAGGUGGCAAGCGUUGUCCGGAUUUAUUGGGUUUAAGGGUGCGUAGGCGGUCUUAUAAGUCAGUGCUGAAUAUCCCGGCUUAACCGGGAGGUGGCAUUGAUACUGUAGGACUUGAGUAGAGUUGAGGUUGGCGGAAUUGACGGUGUAGCGGUGAAAUGCGCAGAUAUCAGGAGGAACACCGUGGCGAAGGCGGGACUCUGGGCCGAUACUGACGCUGAGGAGCGAAAGCGUGGGGAGC